CAGCAGCCGCGGUAAUACGUAGGGUCCGAGCGUUGUCCGGAAUUAUUGGGCGUAAAGGGCUCGUAGGCGGUUUGUUGCGUCGGGAGUGAAAACCAGGUGCUUAACACCUGGCCUGCUUUCGAUACGGGCAGACUAGAGGCAUUCAGGUGAGAACGGAAUUCCUGGUGUAGCGGUGAAAUGCGCAGAUAUCAGGAGGAACACCGGUGGCGAAGGCGGUUCUCUGGGAAUGUUCUGACGCUGAGGAGCGAAAGUGUGGGGAGCGAACAGGAUUAGAUACCCCUGUAGUCCCUGUCUCUUAUAC
rnacentral:rRNA from 1 species